GACAGAGGGUGCAAACGUUGUUCGGAAUUACUGGGCGUAAAGGGCGCGUAGGCGGCCAUCUCAAGUCAGACGUGAAAUCCCCCGGCUCAACCUGGGAACGGCGCUUGAGACUGGCACGCUCGAGUUCGGGAGAGGAUGGUGGAAUUCCCAGUGUAGAGGUGAAAUUCGUAGAUAUUGGGAAGAACACCGAUGGCGAAGGCAGCCAUCUGGACCGACACUGACGCUGAGGCGCGAAAGCGUGGGGAGCAAACAGG
rnacentral:rRNA from 1 species